rnacentral:rRNA from 1 species
UACGGAGGAUGCGAGCGUUAUCCGGAUUUAUUGGGUUUAAAGGGUGCGUAGGCGGACGCUUAAGUCAGCGGUAAAAUUGCGGGGCUCAACCUCGUCGAGCCGUUGAAACUGGGUGCCUUGAGUGGGCGAGAAGUACGCGGAAUGCGUGGUGUAGCGGUGAAAUGCAUAGAUAUCACGCAGAACUCCGAUUGCGAAGGCAGCGUACCGGCGCCCUACUGACGCUGAAGCACGAAGGCGUGGGGAGCAAACAGG